AGUGAUGGAUUGAGUGUGGACUGAAAGGAGGCCAGGUAGAAAAGUCAUACGAAGAGACGCGUGGGACCCAGGGGAGAAGCUGGCAAAGCCACAAAAAGAGUUCAAUUAUAUAAGGACAGCUGAGAAUCUGACAUAUUUUCAGAAAGGUGAUCUGGGACAGUGACAAGAGGAUUAAAGAAGCUACAAGUAUGUUCACCUGAAGCAGCAACAACCACAAAAUGUGCAAGUGGCACUGGAUUUGGAUUUGGGGCAGAAUAGGAAUCUUUAUUGCCAUUAUGCCCAGAUGCUUCCAUAUCAUGAAGGACCCAAGAUAACAAAAAGAAUGACUUGGGAAGCUGGGUGUUGAAGUUAGCAGAGUCUCAGUCAACCUGGAACCCUAUUUGGAGGAAGGUGGUCCACCCCUUCCGACACAGUGUCCUCUUUCCUUGGUAUUAUUACAUGAACUAAAGAUACAUUUCUCUUCAUUAAGCCAUUAUAUAUGUUUUGGUCUGAUUAUUUUAGUAUUUAGCAUUAGAAUAAAAGUUGUAACCUUAAAAUGUACUUAGCAUUCAAAUAUCUCCCAAUAAAUCAAUAUUAUUUUGUCUUCUUCAAGAUGCAAAUUAUCGAACAUAACACAAGCUAUAUUUUUCUACCACUGUAUGUAAUAUAAUAAUGUAGAUUUUUUUUCAAAAGGAAUUCUAUUUUUUUGUCUGUCUUUUUUUCUUUCUUUCUUUCUUUUUAGGGCCACACCUGCCCUGGCAUAUGGAGGUUCCCAGGCUAGGUGUAGAAUCGGAGCUGUAGCCACUGGCCUGUGCCACAGCCACAGCAACAUGGGAUCUGAGCCACAUCUGUGACCUACACCAAGAUCACAGCAAUGCCAGAUCCUUAACCCACUGACUGAGGCCAGGGAUUGAACACGUGUCCUCACGGAUACUAGUCAGAUUAAUUUCUUCUGAGCCACAAUGGGAACUCCCCUCAAAAGGAAUUCUUGAAAUGCCUUCUUUAAUUUAGGACUACUCAAGUUUCAUACCUGAUUAUCACACAAAAUUAAAAAGAAGAGGAAAUAUACUUAGUUUCCACAAAAUUAUUUGAUUUUAUGUGACUUGAAAUGACUGUCUCUUGAGGCAUAGCUGAGACAGGUCUCCUCCUUGCCUUUAUCUUCAAGGCUCUGUGGAUGUGAAAUAAGAUGGAGGCAAGAGUAGAGACAACUAAUGGCAUUGCUUCAGUCUUACUCCUGAUGGAAGAAAAUACUUCUUUAGUUUCCUCGACUGCCUUCUGACAAAGGUGGGUCUUAAAUCUUCCAGGAUUUACCUCUUGCCAAAAAUGUAGCUAAUGCUCAUAGGUUGGCUCUGUCCCUUUCCCAAAUAUAAAAAAACACAAAGAGACACACACACACAGACAUGACACACUUGACCUUAGCCUUUCUUUCCCACUCCCUUUGGGACCUAUGAUAUACUUUCAAACAUUCUUAGACAAACUCCAGUAACAAUCCACAUUCAAGUAACCCCUGUAUAAUACUCACUUUGGAAGCACCAUUUGGAGGGCUUCAAUAUUAACUUCUCACUUAAACCAUAAGGAAAUAAAACUACAACAUGAUGCUGCAGAAUCAAAAUAAAGACCCAUGUCUAAUUCAGUGCUCUUUCCAAGUCACUGUAAAGUUUUCAUACAUUCCUGUUCUUAGAGCGGAAGUGUUUUUGGCUUCUCCUGGCAGAGGCUGCUAAAACUGAGUUCAUUAGUUAGCAAUCCUGAAUAAAGAAAAUCAAGAGACUGCUGAAUGUUGUUAGAGGUGACUGGGAAGUGGGUGAGCAAGUCUGACCUACUUUAAGGCAGAGGUUCAAAAUAUAAACCCCACUCAUUUGCAAUCAAGAACCUGACUUGAAAUAUAAAUACGAGAGUUCCCAUUGUGGCACAGCAGAAAUUAAUCCAGCUAAUAUCCAUGAGGAUAUAAGUUCAAUCCCUGGCCUCGCUCAGUGGAUUAAGGAUCCAGCAUUGCCAUGAGCUAUGGUAUAGGUUGCAGACAUGGAUUGGAUCCUGUGUUGCCGUGGCUGUGGUGUAGGCUGGCAGCUGUAGCUCUGAUUCGACCCCUAGCCUAGGAACUUCCAUAUGCCAUAUGCCAUGGGUGCAGCCCUAAAAAGCAAAAAAGAAAUAUAAAUACACCCAAAAAAAA
rnacentral:lncRNA from 1 species